rnacentral:rRNA from 1 species
UACGGAGGGAGCUAGCGUUGUUCGGAAUUACUGGGCGUAAAGCGCACGUAGGCGGCUUUGUAAGUUAGAGGUGAAAGCCUGGUGCUCAACAUCAGAACUGCCUUUAAAACUGCAUCGCUUGAAUCCAGGAGAGGUGAGUGGAAUUCCAGGUGUAGCGGUGAAAUGCGCAGAUAUCAGGAAGAACACCAAUGGCGAAAGCAGCUCUCUGGGACGGUACUGACGCUGAGACGCGAAAGCGUGGGGAGCGAACAGG